UGUCGAUGAAGAGCGCAGCCAACUGUGUGAAUUAAUGUGAACUGCAUACUGCUUUGAACAUCGACAUCUUGAACGCAUAUUGCGGCCAUGGGUUUUCCUGUGGCCACGCCUGUCCGAGGGUCG
rnacentral:rRNA from 2 species